GAUGAACGCUGGCGGCGUGCCUAAUACAUGCAAGUCGAGCGAACAGAUGAGGAGCUUGCUCCUCUGACGUUAGCGGCGGACGGGUGAGUAACACGUGGAUAACCUACCUAUAAGACUGGGAUAACUUCGGGAAACCGGAGCUAAUACCGGAUAAUAUAUUGAACCGCAUGGUUCAAUAGUGAAAGACGGUUUUGCUGUCACUUAUAGAUGGAUCCGCGCCGCAUUAGCUAGUUGGUAAGGUAACGGCUUACCAAGGCAACGAUGCGUAGCCGACCUGAGAGGGGGGUAGGCAACCGGGGAAGUGCGACCUGGACGAGGCUGAGACGGGAGGCAGCAGGCGGGAAUAGUGAGGAAUGGGAGAAUGUAUGAAGGCGCAAUGACGAGUGAGGGAUGAAUGUCUUAGGAACGUAAAACGAUGUGAAUAGAGAAGAACAAAAGGCCACGUAACUAGGCGCGCCAGCACGGUCGCUAAUAAGAAAGACACCCCUCACCUGGUC
rnacentral:rRNA from 1 species